GACGAACGCUGGCGGCGUGCUUAACACAUGCAAGUCGAACGGAAAGGCCCUGCUUUUGUGGGGUGCUCGAGUGGCGAACGGGUGAGUAACACGUGAGUAACCUGCCCUUGACUUUGGGAUAACUUCAGGAAACUGGGGCUAAUACCGGAUAGGAGCUCCUGCUGCAUGGUGGGGGUUGGAAAGUUUCGGCGGUUGGGGAUGGACUCGCGGCUUAUCAGCUUGUUGGUGGGGUAGUGGCUUACCAAGGCUUUGACGGGUAGCCGGCCUGAGAGGGUGACCGGCCACAUUGGGACUGAGAUACGGCCCAGACUCCUACGGGAGGCAGCAGUGGGGAAUAUUGCACAAUGCGCGGAAGCCUGAUGCAGCAACGCCGCGUGCGGGAUGACGGCCUUCGGGUUGUAAACCGCUUUCGCCUGUGACGAAGCGUGAGUGACGGUAAUGGGUAAAGAAGCACCGGCUAACUACGUG
rnacentral:rRNA from 1 species